UUCUUGCAUAUUAAGUCAAAUUAUUAUGUCCAAUAUGUAAAGUUACAGUUCUUGCAGAUUAACGAUGUUGUUCUUGUCGAUGACAACUCUACUGAAUUUGUUUUGUGGUUGUUCCAAUGGACUAUUGAAAUACCUGUUGAUGGUCAACUAUGAUUUUUGAUUUUUUGGAGUCAUGCAUGACCUAUAUAUAUGAGUUUCUGGCCAGUAAGUACCAUUGAUCUAACUUACUGAAGUGAUGAAACGGUUUAUUAUAUCAAAGAGUUUUGUUCCCUCUCUUAUGGCAACUAGUAAGUGAUGAAAUAUUAAUACUUUUUACACAUCUCUUGGUUUUUCUCUUAACUAAUAGAAAGUUUCUACAAGUUUUAUUUUGCUUUAUACUUAAGUUUUUUCCCCAUCACUCCAUCCGUUUGGGAAGUGAAAGAAGAAGGUGAAGGCUCUGGAGUUGUUAAAGAAGAGACUGCCCAGACUGUUGUCGUCAUUGAGCAUUGGUAAAGCUGUUUCAAAAUUUUGUGCCAAGUUUCUACACCAGCAAGUGCUUAGGCAUGAAGCUUACUUAGCUGGAGAUAUAGCCACAUCUUUACAGAAAUUUUUCCUCAGGAAUCAAUACCAUUGAAGAGUAGCGAAUCUGAUGUUCUCAGGUGAAGGAAGCUCUGGAGAGUAGCGAAUCUGAUGUUGUUGUGAAGCUGAACCCUGACAAGGAUGAAUCUUUGAAGACAAAGCAUUGAAUCAUUCGAAGUAAAGCUCAUUAAUUAAUUAUAGUUAGACUAUUAGUGGAUAUUACUUUGAAUUUGUCAUAGUUGUAGUAAUUUGUAUAUUGUAAGUUUUGAAUAUGUCAUAGUUGUAUAAUAUA